UCCGCCGUUUUUGUCCCCGCGUCGCGUGUAUUCGUUAUGCGCGUUGAAGACACAAAACGGAAUUAACAAUGUCGGCGACGGUUUUCCGAAUUCCCUCUAAUUUGUUAAAAUUUCACCGUUUGUUCGUACGGUUCGACGACCGCCCCUAGGCCGAUUAGACUUGUCCGCUAUAGCGGUCUACUGGCCGAUACCUAUUCGAGGGGAUGGGCCACGGACGAGUAUGACGUUUUGGCUCGAAAAUCCGUAGAAAACUGUUAG